AAUCAACGCUGGCGGCGUGCCUAACACAUGCAAGUCGAGCGAGGAAAGGGGAGCAAUCCCCUGAGUACAGCGGCGCACGGGUGAGUAACACGUGGGUAAUCUGCCCUAGAGUGGGGAAUAACACCGGGAAACCGGUGCUAAUACCGCAUACGAUCACAAGAUCUGCGGAUUCUGUGAUGAAAGGAGCAAUUCGCUCUGGGAGGAGCCCGCGGCUGAUUAGCUAGUUGGUGAGGUAACGGCUCACCAAGGCAACGAUCAGUAUCCGGUCUGAGAGGACGGUCGGACACACUGGAACUGAGACACGGUCCAGACUCCUACGGGAGGCAGCAGUGGGGAAUUUUUGGCAAUGGGGGCAACCCUGACCGAGCAACGCCGCGUGGGUGAUGAAGUCUCUUGGGACGUAAAACCCUUUCGACGGGGACGAAACCGCAAGGUUGACGGUACCCGUAGAAGAAGCCCCGGCUAACUCCGUGCCAGCCGCCGCAGUAAAAC
rnacentral:rRNA from 1 species